CACAGGAGCCCAGCCCUGGACUCCCAGCUCAGCCCACUCAGUGACCAGGACUGAACACAGCUGCUCACCAUGGAGAGUGUGCUCAGCUGGGUUUUCCUGGUGGCUGUUUUCAAAGGUGUCCAGUGUGAGGUGCAGCUGGUGGAGUCUGGGGGAGGCCUGGUGCAGCCUGUGGGUUCCCUGCAAGUCUCCUAUGCAGUCUCUGGAUUCACCUUCAGUAGCUAUGGGAUGAACUGGAUCCACCAGGCUCCUGGGGAGGGGCUGGAGUGGGUUGGGCAAAUUUACCCAGGUAGUGGUAGCAUGUACUACCCAGACUCUGUGAAGGUCAUCUCCACUGAUAACUCCAAGAACAUGCUGUACCUGCAAAUGAGCAGUCUGAGAGUAGAGUACACAGCAACCUAUUACUGUGCCAGAGACAGAUUGAAGGGACCUCAGUGUGAGGCCUGACACAAACCUUUUUGCAGCAUGCCCAGGGCCAGUAGUGGGUGCUCAGCA